rnacentral:tRNA from 1 species
GCAUUGGGUUCAGUGGUAGAAUUCUCACCUUACAAGUGGGAGACCUGGGUUAGAUUUCCAGUCAACGCA